UACGAGGACCCCAAGCGUUAUCCGGAUUUACUGGGCAUAAAGCGUGAGUAGUCGGUUUUGCUAGUCGGAUGUUAAAUCUCCCUGCUCAACGGGGAAACCGCAUUCGAAACGGCAAGACUAGAGUGGGUAAGAGGUAUGCGGAACGUUCGGUGUAGGGGUGAAAUCCAUUGAUAUCGAACGGAACACCAAAAGCGAAGGCAGCAUACUAGUGCCAUACUGACGAUCAAUCACUAAAGCGUGGGGAUCAAAAAGG
rnacentral:rRNA from 1 species